CAUCAGGCGUACUAAUAAAAAAAAUAUAUGCUGGUAAACACAGUUCAGCAAUUUACUAUCAAUCCUGGCUACAUUUCCACCUGCAAAUUGCCGUAAUUAAUAACAUCAGCACUAGAAAGUUCCCCCCUACUAUUUGUGACUUUACCUAAAUAUUCAUGUAUUUAAUUAUAAAAGUCCACUUUUCUCAACCUUCGUGGGAGAAGUAUCUGGAUUGAGGUUUAUGAACGAUUUAGUUUAGCUAAUCAUCGACUACUCCCUGGUGGACAAAAGAUGAUCAACAGCAUAGUUCCAAAUGGACUCAGUACUUCCUCAAUUCAACAGAAAGGGCUGUAUUAUAGCGGUGUGCUUGGUAGUUGCUUGAAGAAUUCAUGAGAUAACCCUGUCUCUGGUUACAUUUAUGAUUCUGUGGGAGAGUUGCUGCUCUGAGAGUGAAGAGGAACUUAGUCUGUCAUGGACACACACCAAGGAACUCAGACUCUGUCGUUGAUAUGUACAAAGCUAAUCCUAAAGUCAAUGAGGACUGGGGAGUACUGCACCAAAGCUCAGAGACCACGCUGCUGCCACAACUUGGUACUGACUCGGCAGCCAUUUUGGGAACAACAUCAAAUCAUUUUGUACCAGAGGUGCCAGACAAAGACUAGCCAAAAGUAUGCAAGAGGACCACAGAAACACUUAAGUUAGCAGCAGUUCCUUUGACUCCAAAAAGCAAAGCCUCGUCCUGGACAGAGAGAAGAAUAUUACCUUCCUGCUGAAGGAGCUGGAUUCACUCAGAGAUCUCCAAUAAGAAGCUCCAGGACAAGUUGGUCAUGAGGGAGAAGGAGCGGGAGAGCAGGUUGGUGAACGCUGAACUGCUGGAGACUGAACUGGAGGCCCGGCCUGUGAGAAGGCCAGAGCCCUAGUGGAGGAGAUCUACCAGUCUCAGAGGGAUAGGGACCAGGCGGCGAUGGCCUGGCUGUGUCUGUCAAAUGAAGAGAGGGACGAGGCCCUGCUCCGGGCCAAGCGGCUGCAGCAAGCGGCAGCUGAGCUGGAGAAUAUUAACCCUGAAGGAAGUGAUAUGGACCUUGAGGAGCUGCUGACCAGUGUGACCAGUGCAAAUUCAACGCUGGGUAUUGAGCGGAGCGCGGCGGUGAUCGUGGACCGGCUGCAGAAGGCCCAGGAGAGAAGGAGGAAGAUAACAGCAAAGGAGAUAAGCGUUGUUAUAGAGGAAAGAGACAGAGCACUGGCCAGGUGCAAGUGGCUGGAGCAAGAUCUCCUGCAGACGAGAGACUUCAGCAAACAAGCCAGACUUCAGCAAACAACUGAAGACACCUGACGGCCAAAAACAAUGAAGAACGUGCUCCGAAGGAGGACGUAGAGGUGGUCCAGAGAGAGAGAGAGACAGGGCCCUGGAGCGCAGCCAACAGCUGGAGGAGGAAAUACAAACACUAUGCACGUGACACACACAUACACUUCCUCUUUAAGAUGUCUGUAUCUGCAUAGUGAAGGUUCUCCGAUAACAGGAAUAUAUGGUUUAGUGCUGCUUGAAACAUUGGUAUAAUUUCUGCUAGGGUUAUACAGCUCCAAAUAGUGGAUUUAAAGGCACAAUCGUGAAAUAUGAUAAGACUCAUAUUAGACUUAGAUGUGACUUAGAAUCUUAGUGGAAAGUCAUUUAUGAAAUCAAAUAAACCUGCUCACUCACUCGUGCAUUUUUCCAAUAGUACAUUGUUAUACCGUUGGUUUAGGGGACACAAUUUAGUUCAACAAAAAAGUAUCCCGUCAUCAUUAUUGUGAUAAUUGUAAAAUACUGAACCUAGUAAUAAAGUAUGUUGUUCCUGGGUACUUUCUGAUCCCAUUCUGCACAAAUACUACUAGCCACAGAGCGAGAACUACACAUUCAUAGGACCACAGAUCAUUUCCAUUUCAUUUGGCUGAAAGGGUCGGGUAGCUAU